rnacentral:lncRNA from 1 species
GGCCCGGCCAAUGGCGGCCGGGCGGACGGAGGUUGAGCCGCCGUGGGUAGGGUUAGUGUGAGAGGUGCGGCGGGGGAGGUAAUGAUGAUGGUGGCGGAGGAGGAAGGCGGGGGAGGGGGUGCUGGGCGCUGAGCGGCUGCGGCGGCUCUGACAGGGUUUUGUAGGGUGGGGGACGGUCGCCAGGCGCCUCCGUCAGGGAGGGGGCGGGCGUGAGGGGCGCCGUCCGCCUGAGGGGCUGCAGACCCCGGCUCCCGCGAACGCCGUGGCUGGCUCGGCUGUUCCAUGUGGCUCCGGCAGGGAUGGAGGACUCGGUGGCGGCGGUGGCGGCUGCUACUGUGGCGGCGACGGAGGAGCGGCGCUGAGGAGGGAACGGGGCCAGACUCAGCCCGACAGCGGGAUUAGAGGUGUGAGGAGAGAAUAAACAUCAUAUAGCCCAAAAGGUGGAAUGGUGAUGUCUCCAUGAGGGAACCUCCUCUCAUUCAUCCUGUCAUGCAUAUUAUACUGUUCUCCACUGAACGAUUCAUUUAAGGUGGGAUUUACCCUGUGAAACAGGGAGAAGACUAAUGGACCCCAAACAUCAUUUCAAGCUGUAGUUGAGUUUUUUGAAAUACUGACAUAUCUGCAAAGCUUGCUUGCUUUGGACCCUCUGCAUUAUUAAACUGCUGCGUUGCUAACCCAGAACUGCUCCAGUCUAUUGAUUGAUCAUCAUGGCUUCAGUUUGGAAGAGACUGCAGCGUGUGGGAAAACAUGCGUCCAAGUUCCAGUUUGUGGCCUCCUACCAGGAACUGAUGGUUGAGUGUACUAAAAAAUGGUAAGAUGUGCCUGCCAGUGCAGUUUUCUGUGCUGUUGCCUAAUCUCACUGUGACUUAAACUCUUCAUCUUCUGAUAGCAUAUUUCACUUUCUGUACUGUACAAGUGUGUAGGAGCUGGGCGGGGUGCAGAUUACUCUAACAGGGACUGUGAUGUGCACUGUUGCUGCUGGUACCGUCCCUGUGGGUUUUAAUUACUGUACUUCAGUAUGGCUCAGAGGACUGUAACUGGAAGAACACACUAAAUACAGGAGAGUUGGUCUUGAGAUUUUUCAUCUUGGUUGUUACAAAAACUUUGAUUUUUAGAGUUUUAAGGAAAUAAAAGAAUGGUGGUUGAAAUAUUGUGAACAUAUAGUUAAUAUAGAAAUCUGCAUUCUUGUGGG